GGGAGGGAAAGAGGAUGUUUUUUGGCCCGUACCGUGUAACGCGAUACAGGCGAAAAUAAGAAGAGGCUUAAGCAUGCAGAUCACGCGCGAACGCAACAUCGAGACGGAAGCAAGUGGCGAGACGACGGAAGAGGAACGGAAGAACGAGGGGUAAGCAGAAAAACCGAUCGUUGUCAGGGAAACGAAGGAAAUCUGCAUUUUGUCAAACUGUCGUUGAAAAGUUGGUGGCUGCGCCUGGAAAGGAGUUCCGACGAGGGUGAAGUAAAGGGGACGAGAGAGAAAGCGCCAUGGCCGGCCUCCAAGAAAGAAGCGAGAAAGUUUGGAGUAACUCUCGGUCGCGCCGUUAUCUAAACCCUUCGCGUACCUCUUGAGUAGUUCGGGGAUGAAAGGGGACGCUUUCUUUUUCACGCUGCGACGAGGAUAUCCGUCGAAUUACUUUCGAUAACGAUCCCUAUGACGGUACCUUUAACCCUUCGCGUUUGACGACGUCAACAACUUUUAAAAGAUGACGGAUUCGCUCGUGCCACGGCCUACACAACUUUCCGUCACGAUGUCUUCGCACGCUUCAAGCGCGCCUAGAGUCCUAGGGAUUGUCGCGUCUACGCGUGUUCAACUACUUUUACCUCGAAUACUCGCAACGGUUAUGAGAUCGUUCGAUACUUGCAUCAUUUCGAUGAAACCGAAAGUUAUCGAAUUACGGAAUCGCGAACUCGAAAGCUGCUUGAUAUCUUUAUAUUGGGAUAGACGUAACGGUGCCCGACAAGCGUAUCACGAAAUAACGCGACUCUUGGGUCCAAGUUUUUGCCGUGGAAAACGUGGAGAAGGAAGUUUAGGUUAAGCUCGGACUGAUGGUUUUAGAGCAGGGUAAAAAAAGCUGCCUUCGUGAAGUAUCUCCCUUUCACGCUGGAUAAAUCUCGCACGCGCGACAACCUCUCUGAAAAGAGAUAAGCGUCCACGAAAAGGGGAUCUUCUUUUUUCUCCCGUUGAUCCGCGGCCGCGUCGCCAUCGUCGUCGUCGUCGUCGUCGUCGUCGUCGUCGUCGUCGUCGUCGUCGUCGUCGUCGUCGUCGUCGUCGUCGUCUUCGUCGGACAGUGCAAUUUCCCACCUCGUUCUUUGCUCCCUGCCCUUUUCCCCUUACUCCGUAGCCGCGCCUCAUAAAUAAUAAAUAGCUAUAUGGAGAUCCCGCAGACGUCCAGUACAUUUAGCGCCACUUCAAUCGGCCGGUUGUAAAGCAUUUCCAGCUUUCGUGAAACUAGACCUUUUUAAAUUCAGUAGAAGAAGAAAUUGUUGAUUGCGUCGAGAAUGCGAAAAUACGUACCGGUAUAAAUCGGUUUGUCAAAGGCAGAUGUCAGAGGUCGAUUUCAUUGAAUCGCGCGUCACGUCAGCCUGUUUAUAUAAUUUCAAGUUUAUAAGACGAGCAGCUCAGAACCACGUGAUUACCGCGAUUCCGGGAAAACUUGUGUUUGCGAUGAAAAACGGGAUACUUAGGGGAGAUCGAUUCGAUGUUCGAACGAUGUUCGACCCCCCCCCCCCCCACCUUUUUUAUUCGACCACCGGGUUCGUCGAUAAAUCGCAAGUAAUUGCGAUACCAUCGAGUGGCUGUUAAAAAGUUGACUCCCCUCGUUAGCUCGAUAUCCGUUUAAAUUCGAUUUCACGAGACUGUAAUUCGCUAAAAUCGGCAUUCUUCUCGAUCUCGAGUUUACAGCAGCGUAUUCUGAAAUGGGUAACACGUGAAGCGUGGUGUGUUAGCGAACUUGUUUCCUGGCGGAUGCGCAACAACGGCAAAGAUAGGAAAACACGACGACCAUCGGGCAAUAAAUCAGCUCGAUCGCGUUGAGUAACGAGUCGUUGAAAAAUAAGCCGAUUACGUCACCGUAAGACACUACGAAGGAGUUUCAGCUCCGAUCACUCUCUUGCGUCCUCCGCUCUAUCUCUCGUUAAUAUGUUAAUCCGAUAAAAAUAUCCGUCAGCUGAUAGACGAUGACGGAAAUACGGUGUCGGAUGUUCGAUUAUCCGAUUUAUCGUAAAUGGAACCAUUGACCAAGGAACGAUUGACCAAGUCUCGCCUCCGAAUUUCCAGGAAUAUUCGAAUACCAGAUGCUGCUUUUGCUUUCACGACAUUUGCGAAAACGCGACGUUAUUCACGACCUUCUGAAGAAAAAUGCGAGCCACGGGUACUUAGGUUUCCACCUGGAACAUGUGAUUCUGGUAAUAUCGGCCGAAUCGAAACGUUUCAUUGCAAACACUGUUUUAUUUCUCGUCUCUCGAGUUGCUAUACGAUACUGUAAUAUAGUACGUAUACACCUAGGCUUUGUCUCGUUGGGUCAAAAGCGCGGCGAAACGAAUGAAAAACCCGGCAAAGACGAGAAAGAUGUCAAGGAAAAUGGUCCGAUGAAUAUGUAACUUGCGGUUUCGAAUCCUAGUCCUCGAUCGAAUUGCCUGGUGGAAUUUCCAGGGGCGUGUGAACGAUAUUUAAACGCGACUGAACCGAGCCGUUUAUCAGCAAAACGACGUUUGCGGACGUGUCAUACCUGCGAAUACGAACGAUCGAUCAGGAUCCGUAAGUCGAUGGAAAAUUUCCAGUCCAAAAGUUUCAUGGCCAACUAUUCGGACAUUCGCCGACGAUAUGGUCGCGUCGCUCGUUCUCAUUUCGCUAUCGAUAUUCUCGUUGUUGGUCGGUCGAUGUAGAUGUCGAUAUUCCGGAUGAUCGAGACAGAGACACGUGUAACGACAUUCGUGGUACCGCUUGUGAAUUAUCCGUUUAUUAACGUCCAGUUACAGGAAAGAAUUAGUCUGCGCUUCUGUUUCGCGUACGCACGCAUGCCGUCUGAUAAACACGGGGCGAGGCAGUUGAAUUACUUGCUAUUUACCGUGUCAAGUCACGUGAUCUAAAAGUCACUAACUUGUCGAUGACCGAAUGCCUAUUGAGUCGGCCAAGUACAUCGUCGUCUGUCGUCCAACUCUGAUAAAACUUGCGCAGCCAUACACGAUCAGAGUGACUGUAUAGAGCAGAGUGACUGUCAAGUUGAGCAAACUGUAUAGAAGCCGACGUUCGCUCAAUUUACGAUUCUUGUAAAAAUUUCCAAUCGGAUCGGCCAAGUCGUUAAGUCGUGUCUUUUACUCGACCUUAAACGAUCUGACGAUCUUCUAACGAGCCGCGGAUUUCUUGGACGAGCUCGAACGAGCCGACGACUCGAGGAAUCUUCAAAGUGAUCUUGAAACGUCGAAGAAUGUCGUUUAAACGAGCUUGCGGUUCUUCUUUCCGGCUGAUAGGUGGAAAGAACGCUUUCCGAACUUGAAACGGUUGAUAGACGAUUGAUCGGCCGGUUCCGCGAUGCGCUAUUUCGUUUGCGAUUCGAAGGAAAAUGGGCUGGCGAACCGGAUACCCGUCGAUUAGAGAAAGUUCGAUCGAUGAUCGAUGAACGACGAGACAAUAUCGCGACUAAUUCGAACGGCGUUCGGUUAAAUUGCGACGAAAUGACGAAGGUCCGGUCGUUUCGUACAGUUUUCUAUCCGCUGGCUGCUCGGAUUUCCGUGGCUUAAUGCCUCGAUCGAUUCCAUUGGUGCGUUAUGAUGCGCGCGCGGCAACGCAUCCGUUGGAUUAAAUUCUGCUGUGUAUUCGAGAAUCGUUUUUCGGCUUACUUCCCUAAUUGGAUUUUCGUAUUUUGCAUGCAGCAUAGUUUUUCGAUGGACGGCGAUGGUACAUCGAUGUAACGCAAUACCAGCUUUAUCGCGUUUAUAAAAUUUUGAUGUUCUUUUGGUGCCGCGCCUUAUCGACGAAUAACAAAAUUUCGAUCCAAACAUUUUAAACAAAGAAGAUUCGCGCAGCGCGUGCGUUGGCAGUGUUUACAGCAAACAUUUUGCUUGAAUUCCGCGUCUGCUUACCCUUAUUGCAACAUUUGAAAUAGUUGAAACGUAUAGCGUAAUUUGAUUUUUGCGAUAGCUUCCGAUCACUUGGAAAUCUAAUCGGGACGUUCGUUACUGUUACGGGGAGGAACGGGGGGGGGGGGGGGGGGGAGAGAGAUCAGGCCAAGUAACGCAACGAACGUGCGAAUGAAAGAAAUUUAUGCGUCGGAAUGCCGUGUUAUUUGCAGGGGACACUAAAUCUGCGUUGAACAACGUCGCUUCCGGCCGAGUGCUCUUCGUCCAGAGAAUACGGUUCGUUUAUCAACGUUGUUUCACCGCUAGUUUCACGUAGUCCCGUGUCGUGGGAAAUUUUUCAAGAAGCACGAAUAACUAGCAAGAUGCUCGCCGAGAGUCACUUUGCAGAGUCGUGGACAUAAAAUUAAAUGGAUCCGCGGUACUACGGAGAAUAUUACGCCGCGACACGCCGCGACAAGCCAAGACACGCCGCUUCUACCAGCAAAGAGUUUCCACGGACUUUGGUGAAAUUCCAUUUCCAAGUUCCGUUGGGCUAUGAAUUUUGAUGAAUCUUUUUAUCGGCAAAUAAUUAACGAGCUUCGCGUUUCUACGAUAAUUUUUCAUCGUUUUAGCCGCUCGCGCAUUCCGUUUCUUCUGCAUGUUUUUUGCCAACGAAGGAACGCAAGCUGUAAAAUAUUUCGAUUAUGCUUGACGCGUAACGUUCGCUCGCGUACUAGUUCUUCCUUAUCAGCAAUCCGAACUUUUUCAUAACCGAGUAAUUCCUUUUUCCCAAUGCCAUUAAACAUUAGCGCCGUUCUUAUCGCGCGCGCGCCACUCAGAAAAAUCGCUGCCCUCGCAAGAUGACCUGAAACCGUAAUAUCCGGCGAGGUGGUUGUGUGCAGCAAUUAGGUGUGCCCGGUAUCUCGGUACUUAGCCGAAUUCGGUGGCUUAUGCGAGGUUGGCCGAAACGAGCGGUGAUUCUGACACCGCUGCAGACGCUGUAACUGCCACUCGCUCUGCCACCACUCGCUCGCUCGCCAUUAAUCUCUCGUGUUUCUUGCAAAUGUUCGACUUGGCCAAUCGCGAGUCGAUGAAAUUUCUAAAAUCGUGCCUCGUUUUGCGCGAUUCAAAUACUAACACGCGGUGCAACGAUGCCGAUUCGAGUGGGCCCGGCCGAUCGGCAGUUGGCGAAAAACAAUCCGCUUGCAACAACACGUCCGCCAGGUUUACAUCUGCGACGGUGACGAGGAGAAAGUCGACGAGCCUGCACACCGGGGAAAUCAGACGAAUUAUUUUCGAAUGAUACGGCCGCAGCGCUGUAGAAAAAUGCGUCGGAAUUCGGUUAUGGAAAUGCGGCGCGCAGCGUCAACGAAUGGCCCCCGUUCGACGGAGAUUUUUAUUAUUCGCGUUCCGACACCGCGCGAUCACCGCACCAUCUCGUUUUUCAACCGAUGGAAAAUUUCUAUAAUUCAGCAAACGAGCGAGCGGGAGAAAUUUUAAUUCAUUCUCGACGGCGAGAAUUUCAACGGCGAUUACAGCACGAUGUUUCGCUGCUCGACGCCGGCGACUGGCUGAAACGUUUAAUAAGAAAGACUGGUUGGCUGCCACGUUUUAUGCAAAUACACACACCGGUAUAAAUAAAACUCUGGAGAAGUCGUGGCGCUUUUUUCUCUCCUUCUCCUCGCAACGUUUAAAGCGGUCGUCUCUUAAUUUCGCGAAAUUACGGGGUCACCGCGAAAUCGUUAAGCUCGCUUUAAAGUUACUGAAUAAAGUUUAAGCGAAUGCACAACUUCCGAACUGCUCCCGUUCGUCCUCCCUUCUCGACGUCUGCUCGUUGUAAAACUGGAUACCACGAAAUCCGGAAACGUUGCGUGUUUAAUUUGCUCGAUACCGCGACAAAGCAGCAAAUACGAUUUUCUACGACAACGAUGUUCUACGAUGAACUCUCUAGUGACUAUACCGCGCACACGCAUACACACACACACACACACACACACACACACACACACACAUGGAACGUGUUUUAAAAGAACGACCUCUCUUUUGCGAAACUCUCUGUCGUUUUACGUCUCGAUUCGAAUGGAAAGUAGGUUUUCUUCUUUGAAAAUUGCAAUAAGCAUCUGAAUCUUAUAAUCUGCAAGUGACACUUAUUGACACUUUAGCGAGACUCGAGUCUAGUCCAUCCGGUCGGCAAAGUCGCUGGAUGUCGCUAAUACUCGCGAUUGUGUCGCGUGGAAAAGAUGCGAAGAAUGUUGGGAAAAAUGCCACUUUCGAGUCAUAGAAUCUUGUGCAGUCGACGCGAUCCGUCUGACAAAGGAUCGCUGGAGAAUACUGGAGACCGGAAGCGCGGAAAUUCUGCGAUUCAUCGACCCGAAGCCGAUAGUCGUCGAAACUUCCUGAAAGCGAUCGAACUGUCGCGCGACGUGCAUUAACCGAAGCUCGGCUAACCGGAUUUCGAUUGCUGAAUAUUCAAAUCUUCUAUUAUUCGACGAUUCGAACGGAGGUCUGCCGCGGACACGACGCCUUGGCCAAACAAAUGAAUAAUCUAAAUAAAUAAUCGGCCGCGCCAACCUGAAAUUGAAUAGCAAAUCGUAUUUGUGCGUGAAAAUAGGAUCGUUGAUCGGGAAAAUUGAGCGAAUCUGGUUUUUCAACGUUUAAUGGACUGGCCGCCGAUGCGUCAAUUAACGGGACGUAUGGACGCCGACUUGUCCUGGCUAAUGAAUCGAUCGGUCUGCUGGUUGCGCUUUUCCUUCGUCCUCUACUUCCCUGUUCUUCGACCAUGUCAAUUUUUAUACGUGUCUGACGCCUGCGUUUUAUACGUGUUCUGAAUAUGAUUUCGAAUACGGAACAUACGGAACAUAUUUCGUAUACGGUUUCGAAAAAGGACUAAGAAGCGGCGAAAACGAUCGUAACGCGGAGCUUGCUGUAAGAGCAUUUCACCUUUUACCUUCUUUCCUGGUGGAACAGCGUGUAACACGGUAAUCCUAUUCCAUCGUUAUUUAUCACGUCAUCGCAGCGUUACCUUCGACAGAGUCAACUGGAACGAGAUCUUUCGCGUGUUUACUCGCGUAUUUGUCGCCUUUCCAUACCAUAAACCGUGCAAUCUUUUACAUGGAUUACCCUUUCAAUUCGCGUGAGAAACAGCGUCGACGUGUUAUCGGCCACGUACGAAAAUCCGGUAAUCCAGCGUUGCUUCUUGCAUUCUCUGCACAGUCGACGCGUUACCGAAUAGGUCUGCGACGAAUAGGAACGUCUGCUUUGAAAGUACACCGGCGAAAGCGACAACGAGGAUUCCCGUUCCAAUACCAAAGAAGCUUACCUGGACUUUUGACGGCAAGAUAGCAGACGACCGAACGAAAGGGGAAAAUCACGACUAGACAAGAUCGUGUGCGAGUUGACGUUAGGCCGAUGGCGUAGCAAAGUGUCACGUGCCGAACCGCUUGAUCUUUCGAUUCCAAAAAGUCGACGAACACGCACACUCUGACUUCUUUGCGAGAGAUGUGCCAGCCGCCGCGUUCCUCUAUUUUCCCCUUUACCAUUCAAAUUUCCAGGUCGGUCAGGCUUUGUUAAAUUUCUCGAAUUCCUCUCUUCUUCCUCUUUUUAUCCGACUGUCGCGCGCGUUUCCACCAGCGUACCCUUUGUUCAGCGAGUCUGCGUCGCUCCAACCAACUCAGCUUUUUCUGGAAAUUCACUGGAUAAUUAUCAUCGAACUUUUGUUCUUUGACGCAGCCCUGGAAAGGUUUCGCUCGGCCGAACUCCAUAGGAGAAAGCCUCCUCUUGUUCGAAUUUCCGCGAUAAACGACAGAUAUCGGGCGACCGAAAUUUCCCGCGUCGUCGACGGACGCAGAGGAUAAACUCGUCUUCGAAAAGCGAAGCAGCACGUACGUAACCGGUUUCUAUGAAACGCGGGAAGCGUUUCGCCUGGAUGCUUGACGCUUGUUAUUCGACGCCUCUUCAAACGACAAUCGUACAACGGACUCGACGGUAAACACGAAUUUUCCAUCGAGUCCCAUAAAGGAGAGAAGAAAAGGAAAAAGGUACGAUAUGUCCAGUGUUUUGCGUUUUAUAGAUCUGGCGAGGAUUUCAAAUUACAAGCGAUUAUCUGGAUUUCAUUGGUAUGCCUACGUGUCGCCGGUCGACCGAUUAAUCCGUCGAGGACGGUAGCGUUAAUUCGUUGCAAACGACCCGACGAAAAAUCGAUGUCGUCCCUCGUCGCGAAAUGACGCGAUGCAACACGUCGAUGACUCGUGACCCGGCAAAUUAGCAGCAGGCUGUCGCAUCGUUUGGGAAGAAAAUCAGAUAUCCGGCAUAAAGGAUACAUAAAGAGACCUAUCGCAACCAGUGGAGAACAAACAAUCGACGAUUUCGAUUUGGAAUCUCCGUGCAAUUGCUUCUCUCGAGAGUUCUUUUCGCGAAAUUCUCCGAACAGAUCCUCGAAAGAAGGAAUGGGAACAUCGAGCUUCUUCGGGCACAGGGCAAUGCCAGGGCAGCGAACAACGAUUCACGCCAAAGAUCGCUUCUCGAGGAAAAAUUUCUCGCCUGCUACUUCUUUCUUCUUUUUUCGUCGCCGCGUAUUAAUAAAUUUGACGGGUCGAAUCGCGUGUCAAUUUCUGCAACAACCAACCAACCGACAAACGUCCCGAACAUUUAUUUAUAAACGAGAAACGUUGGAACUUUGUCGAUAAUACGGCGAAAACCGUGUCGCGAUCAUUUCACUUUCCUGUCACACUUUAGAUACGAAACGAAAUCGAACAAGGAUCCUUUUUAUGCUGCUAAUUCUCUGACUGAAAUGGGAUACACGUGGUAUACUUCCCGGCCAAGACUAGGGACAGUCGCGAAACGGUGAAAAAGUGGCGAGAAUAUAGACGUAUCGAGAGAUUCGUGCAAAUAAAAUCCAAUCGGUUGGCCGCGAGCAAGGAGGCUGCAAUCGUCGGCACAUGUUUGAGCGUACGUUCAAAGCGAUCGAUAUAAUUCGUUUAGCGUGAUUGUUCGACAAACGGUCGAUACGGAGGUGGCGGGACGUCGACCUCGGGAAUAAUGAAAUACUAUGGGAAAUAACAGGAUGACCGAACCAUGAGUUAACGACAGGAACAACGCAUAUAGCCCUCUUAUAGCAACUUUUUACUGUAGCUCAACAGGGAUUCUAGGGAAUUCUGCUUUAGAAAAAGAUGGGAGAAAGGAUGGGGACAGAUGAUACGCGCGAAGACACGUAAAAAAAGUCGUACACAAAAAUUUCUUUCAUAAGACGUAGCGCGUGUUAGGAUCGAGCGUAUGACAGAAGCAGCUGCUAUGUUCGCGAUUCGUCACAUAUCAAGGCGCCAAGCGGAAACUACUUAUAGAGACAGACGCGAAGCAGAGAAACACCUUUUCCCGUUGACAGCGUCGUAGCUAUAGGGAAAAAUAAACAACGGAAUACAGGGCCGCUGUUACAAGAAGCGCAACGAGUUUCUUUGGUAAGGUCAUCGAUGUACGAUAGCGACGCGAGGUAAAAGUUUGUGCUGCCACGUAGAGCGCGUGUUCGGCGAUGAAGAUACUUUCUUUACUUUGGGGAUGGAAAGCACGUAUUUACAGCGAACCAACUAACAGAGAACUCUUCGCGCACGGCCAAAGAGGAUGUAUGUUUGUCAAGGUGUUGCGAGUAGGUCACGAAAAAUAAUAAUGAUGAUAAUAAUAAUAAUGAUAAGAAAGAAAACG